GUGCCCGUUGGUGCUGCUGGACUGGAUUCCUUCCAGGGCACAGUCCCCCAGGGAUCCGUACAGAGACUUGGCCACACUGGUCACUUGAGGAGGGUGACAGACGCGUAAUUAGCAAAGGGUUGCACUGCAGAGACUCACAUCCCGGGAGAGAUUGCCCUUUGGAUAGGGGAGAAGAGCAGUUUAAAAUCUGGGCUCAGGGGUGUGUUGCAGAGGGAUGGUGUUACCGACUUCCCCCUGGCGUCAGAGCGCAACGUUCUCUAGGUUAUCUACUUUAGUCUUCUAGUGCACCACACUGGUGUGGAUGUCAAUGACUAAAGUCUGUGUUGAACUUGUAUAAGGAAAAACGGAAAAAAAGAAUAAGCCAAUAAACGCCAUCAUUAUUUUAAAGAAAGAUGA